rnacentral:rRNA from 1 species
GAUGAACGCUGGCGGCGUGCCUAAUACAUGCAAGUCGAGCGAACAGACGAGGAGCUUGCUCCUCUGACGUUAGCGGCGGACGGGUGAGUAACACGUGGAUAACCUACCUAUAAGACUGGGAUAACUUCGGGAAACCGGAGCUAAUACCGGAUAAUAUAUUGAACCGCAUGGUUCAAUAGUGAAAGACGGUUUUGCUGUCACUUAUAGAUGGAUCCGCGCCGCAUUAGCUAGUUGGUAAGGUAACGGCUUACCAAGGCAACGAUGCGUAGCCGACCUGAGAGGGGGGAGGCAACAACGGGAAAGAGACAAGGGACAGGAAUCCGAGGGGAGCAGAAAGAGGGAAAUUUCCAGAAAGGGGGGAAAGCCGGAGGAGGCAAGGAGGGGGGAGGAAGGAAGGUGUGAGAAUAGAAAAACUGUUUUAUAGGGAAAAAAAAAAUGGGAAAGAAACUAUGACGGUCUGGACGGAACAAAAUAAAAAAGCCACGGAAAACUCCGUG